rnacentral:lncRNA from 1 species
UCAAAAUCCCAUUCUAGAAGGAAAAGAUCACAAUCAAAACACAGGAGUAGAUCCCAUAAUAGAUCACGUUCAAGACAGAAAGACAGACGUAGAUCUAAGAGCCCACAUAAAAAACGCUCUAAAUCAAGGGAGAGACGGAAGUCAAGGAGUCGUUCGCAUUCACGGGACAAGAGAAAAGACACUCGAGAAAAGAUCAAGGAAAAGGAAAGAGUGAAAGAGAAAGACAGGGAAAAGGAGAGAGAGAGGGAAAAGGAACGUGAAAAAGAAAAGGAACGGGGUAAAAACAAAGACCGGGACAAGGAACGGGAAAAGGACCGGGAAAAAGACAAGGAAAAGGACAGAGAGAGAGAACGGGAAAAAGAGCAUGAGAAGGAUCGAGACAAAGAGAAGGAAAAGGAACAGGACAAAGAAAAGGAACGAGAAAAAGACAGAUCCAAAGAGAUAGAUGAAAAAAGAAAGAAGGAUAAAAAAUCCAGAACACCACCCAGGAGUUACAAUGCAUCGCGAAGAUCUCGUAGUUCCAGCAGGGAAAGGCGUAGGAGGAGGAGCAGGAGUUCUUCCAGAUCGCCAAGAACAUCAAAAACCAUAAAAAGGAAAUCUUCUAGAUCUCCGUCCCCCAGGAGCAGAAAUAAGAAGGAUAAAAAGAGAGAAAAAGAAAGGGACCACAUCAGUG